GAGGGUAUAGCUCAGUGGCAGAGUGCAUGCCUAGCAUGCACGAGGUCAUGGGUUAGAUCCCCAGCAUCUCCA
rnacentral:tRNA from 1 species